rnacentral:rRNA from 1 species
AUUGAACGCUGGCGGCAGGCCUAACACAUGCAAGUCGAACGAGUGGCGGACGGGUGAGUAAUGUCUGGGAAACUGCCUGAUGGAGGGGGAUAACUACUGGAAACGGUAGCUAAUACCGCAUACCAUCGGAUGUGCCCAGAUGGGAUUAGCUAGUAGGUGGGGUAAAGGCUCACCUAGGCGACGAUCCCUAGCUGGUCUGAGAGGAUGACCAGCCACACUGGAACUGAGACACGGUCCAGACUCCUACGGGAGGCAGCAGUGGGGAAUAUUGCACAAUGGGCGCAAGCCUGAUGCAGCCAUGCCGCGUGUAUGAAGAAGGCCUUCGGGUUGUAAAGCCCUUUUGUUGGGAAAGCGGUACCCAAAGAAUAAGCACCGGCUAACUUCGUGCCAGCAGCCGCGGUAAUUC